UACGUAGGUCCCGAGCGUUGUCCGGAUUUAUUGGGCGUAAAGCGAGCGCAGGUGGUUUAUUAAGUCUGGUGUAAAAAGCAGUGGCUCAACCAUUGUAUGCAUUGGAAACUGGUAGACUUGAGUGCAGGAGAGGAGAGUGGAAUUCCAUGUGUAGCGGUGAAAUGCGUAGAUAUAUGGAGGAACACCGGUGGCGAAAGCGGCCCUCUGGCCUGUAACUGACACUGAGGCUCGAAAGCGUGGGGAGCAAACAGG
rnacentral:rRNA from 1 species